ACCCCAGGCCCUGGUACACAGCAGGCAGAGAUGGGUUUCACCAUGGUGAUCAGGAUGGUCUCGAACUCCUGACCUCAAGUGAUCCACCCACCUUGGCCUCCCAAAGUGCUGGGAUUACAGGCCUCCAGGCGGGCACGCAUCUUUGUUGUGUUCUCUGCUGACUAUAUCCUCAGCACCUAGAACUGUGUCUGUCACCUAAUAGAUGCUCAAUAAACCUGCCAGUAAUUUCAGCAAAUGAAACGUGGAACACGUCAAGGCCAGAGGAUGGAAAAGGCUCCAGUUUUGAUAAAAGGAGGCCUGCUUGGCUUGGAAUCCUCUCUCCUGCUGGUUGGGAGAUGCAAAGAUGUUUCCAGAGAGGGGCUGAUGAAUUGAGGGGAAAGAAAUGAGCCCAGUAUGAGUCCCCUUUCAGGGCUGAGCGUGUAUAAAACCAAACAACUUGGAACCGCUCCAAGAGAGGGGAUUAAAGCAACAUGUUAUUCUGA
rnacentral:lncRNA from 10 species